ACUCAGCAAGCAGGAGGGUGUGCAUCUGUUUCCUGGCGGUGGGAGACCCAUCUUUGACCUUCACGUCAUUUUCCCAACUCAGCUCUGCGCCUGGAGACUGUUUUGGCAGCCUUAGACCUCUUUCCAGCUCCACUGGCUGCCCAGGUGGAGAGGAACAGAUGCUUCACACAGCAAGAAAGAAUGCUUAAGACUUAUGGGACAGCUCCUUCCCCUGCAUCCCUCAAGCCACGGAUAACACCUGUCUCAACAAGAGCCAUUUACAAAAGAUGUGAGGAUGAUAGAUGGGAUCAGAGGACAGCACAGAAGAAGCAAUAACUGCCCCACCAUGCCCCCGCACCCCGGACCUCCUCACAACCAUGUAACCCUCUAGAUUCUGGACCGCUAGCUCAUAGCUGGGAUCCAUUCUCCACAGGGAUGGUUCUCUAUCUUUCCUCUUCUCUACAACUUGGGGCCCCCAUAGGCCCUGUCUCUUGCCUGAGGCAACAACCCCAAAUUCCUUCAGUAGGUUAUGCAGCUCAGUUUCUCUCUAGGCUCACCUUUCGUAGCUGAAGAAGACCCAUCAAAGUGUUUUUAUAAACAAAAAGAAUCACCUUCUCCUUAUAAAACACAUAAACAAAAAUGA